AAAAAAUGUCGCGGAAAGGUUUGAUGGAGCAAGACUUGAGUAAAUUGGAUGUAACUUUGUUGCAUCCACUUUCUCCUGAAGUUAUAUCUCGCCAGGCGACUAUAAAUAUAGGUAAUGUUCUGUCCAUCACAGAGUUUAAUUGCUUUUAGUUCCAUAAUGCAAUAUUUGUCUGCAUUUGUUGUGCCUGUAUGCUUAAGUGAAUGUAAUGAUCAAGAUUGAGGAUUAAGGAUUGGAUAUAUUAUGCGGGCACCAUAGGUCAUGUGGCACAUGGUAAGUCAACAGUUGUGAAAGCAAUAUCUGGUGUUCAGGUAACUAGCUAUUUUAACUGUUUUCUUGUAUUUUGUAAAGUUGCAAUAUUUUAUUGCUUAAAAUUGCAAUUAAUUUCUUCUGUGGAGCAUGUUGCGUUUAUACUUCUGUAGUUCAUGACUUCAAAUGUCUAAGUUGCUUUUUAGAGUCUAUUAUGGAAGUUUCCUAGAUUAGUUACUGCCUACAGUUGUGAUUUAGCAGGCUACUUGUUAAUUUUUAUACAUUCUUGGCAUAAGAUGUUAUAGGUCCUUGCUGUUGUUGCAGUAGUGGUAGCGGGCAAUGGUAAAAUUCAUUGAGAGCCGAGGGAGAAAGAUUUUACAUCAACUUCAAUGACAUCGUCAUCUAUUUGAAAAAAAGGCAUUGUAAUACUACUGAGGCUAAUGUGCUUGUGAAAUGCCAAGAAUACUUGUUCAUGAUUCGAAAUUACUGAAUUUUUUUGGUUCCUUUAGGAACUGACUCUGUUUCUAAUAAAGGAGCUUCUACCUUACUUAGCAAGAAUUCCUUUAGGAAAAACAUGUUAAGUUCUAGCUUAUGAGAAAGACGGUUCUCUUUCUUUGUUAUAAAUCUAUGAAGCUUCGGUUAUCUUUCCACAAGAUUUGGUCAGUGCAGUUACUUGUUUGUGAUUUUAUUUUCUAGACAUUAUCUUAAAUUAGAAUCAAGCGUUAAUUGAGGUAGUUCUUGCCUCUAUUUUUAGGUAUUAAUAAUUGCAUUUUUUUACUAUUCAUUUGCAGACUGUUCGUUUUAAAAAUGAGUUGGAGCGUAACAUUACAAUUAAGCUUGGAUAUGCAAAUGCAAAGAUAUACAAGUGUGAAGAUGAUCGGUGCCCCCGGCCUAUGUGCUACAAGUGAGUUGGCAUUAGCUGGGUGCUAUUGUAUCAGUUUACUCCCUUCAUUUCAUGUUUUAAUGUGAGAAAUGUUCUUGUAGGGCAUAUGGAAGCGGAAAGGAAGAUAGUCCAAUGUGUGAUGUAUCUGGGUUUGAAAACUGUAGAAUGAAAUUGCUGAGACAUGUGUCUUUUGUUGAUUGCCCAGGUCAUGAUAUUCUCAUGUCUACAAUGCUUAAUGGAGCAGCGAUUAUGGAUGGAGCAUUGCUUCUCAUAGCUGCAAAUGAAACCUGCCCCCAGCCGCAAACUUCUGAGCAUCUUGCUGCUGUUGAAAUUAUGCGUCUCCAGCAUAUCAUAAUCCUUCAAAAUAAAGUUGAUCUGAUUCAAGAAAAUGUAGCCAUUAACCAACUUGAGGCUAUUCAGAAAUUUAUCCAGGGAACUGUUGCUGAUGGUGCUCCAGUGGUGCCAAUUUCUGCUCAACUGAAGUACAAUGUUGAUGUUGUGUGUGAAUACAUUGUGAAAAAGAUCCCCAUUCCAGAGAGGAACUUUAUCUCACCUCCUAAUAUGAUUGUGAUUCGCUCUUUUGAUGUCAAUAAGCCUGGGUUUGAGGUUGAUGAGAUAAAAGGUGGUGUGGCUGGUGGAAGCAUCCUCUGGGGUGUUUUGAAGGUCAAUCAAUUCAUUGAAGUUCGCCCAGGGAUCGUUGUUAAAGAUGAGACAGGGAAUAUCAAGUGCACACCGAUAUAUACUAGAAUAGUUUCGCUGUAUGCUGAGCAGAAUGAGCUGCAAUUUGCAGUGCCAGGAGGUCUCAUUGGUGUUGGUACAACCAUGGACCCUACUUUGACGCGUGCUGAUCGGUUGGUGGGUCAGGUCCUUGGAGAUGUAGGGUCACUCCCUGAAGUUUUUGUUGAGCUUGAGGUUAGUAGCUGAUCCGGUGAUAAUGCUUUUUCUAGAUUUUGAAUUGUGUUUGGUAUUUAUUCUUCUGUGCUAAUUUAAAUAUUUUAGGUAAUGCAUGUGUGAAUGGAUGGAUGUACAAGCAUGUGUGAAUGGAUGGAUGUACAAGCAUGUGACCAUGCAUCCAUAUCCUGCCCCUUCCUUGCUUGGGUUGAAAGGGCUUUAUUCUUUUUAACAGAUGAAUAGUUAAUCCUGAAGUUUAUUGCAAUAGGGGUAGCCCUUGUUGCCAGUGGAACAUUUAAAAGUAAAUUUGUUGUUACACAAGAAACUUUUAGUGCUAUUCUUGUUUGUUUCUAUUAUUCUAUAGCCCACCUUCUCCUACAUCUUAUUUUGUUUUCCUUUUUGGAUAGUAAUUCCUGAUUUAUCCUAUUCCUUCACUUGCUGUGAAAAUCACUUACUUUGUUUAGCGAUUGAAAAUUUUGAAAUUGUGAGAUUCAAAUUGGACUGUUUAUACUUUUUCCUUUCAUUGAUUAGAUUCAUAGAAUGUGGAUUAAAAUCCCAUUUGGUGCAGAUUUGAAUUACUGUUUACUUGUAAAAAUAUUAUUUCAAACCCACUUCGAAUAAGUUCUCGACCACAUCCAAAGAUCUAAUCUUCAUUCAUACAUCUAAUUCGUUAAAUAAUAGAUUUUCAUUCAAAGAAUUUAAAAUCUAAUAUCAUAUCAAAGAAUCCAAAUCCCUUCAUUUGAUGACAAUCAGAAAGAUUGACAAAAAUAGUGAUUUGGUUUGAUUAGUUGUCAAUUGUGUGAUGAGAUGAAUCAUUCUGUUCAAACAUAGCAUCAAAACACUUGGUGGAGCAAUUCCUAGACCUUUCCAUUGUUCUUUAAUGCUGAUAUUAUUCUCUUAUUACAC
rnacentral:misc_RNA from 1 species